UGCUGUAUCCAGCUAUGGGUUCCUCAGGACAGAAGGGACAUGGAGCUCCUGGAACCACAGAGAUGAUGAGGGGACUGGAGCUUCUCUCCUCAGAGGAAGGG